rnacentral:rRNA from 1 species
GCUGAACCGUCCUUCUAAGUGCAUAAUGGCGAAUUCCUGCGGCCGUCUGGCGGGCUGCAGCAUGCGACGUGGGGCCCAGUUGACCCUAUCUCGAGACCUUUCACAAUUCACUGGGGCUUCGACGUACAAAACUCUUAUUAAUCCCGCAUCCGACCUACGGGGUAGAAAGGGGGCAGUUUACUGCUCUCGCUAUUAGAUGAGCCUAAGUCGGAUUAGCUAGAUGGUGGGGUAAAGGCCUACCAUGGCGACGAUCUGUAGCUGGUCUGAGAGGAUGAUCAGCCACACCGGGACUGAGACACGGCCCGGACUCCUACGGGAGGCAGCAGUGGGGAAUAUUGGACAAUGGGGGAAACCCUGAUCCAGCCAUGCCGCGUGUGUGAAGAAGGCCUUUUGGUUGUAAAGCACUUUAAGCAGUGAAGAAGACUCCGUGGUUAAUACCCACGGACGAUGACAUUAGCUGCAGAAUAAGCACCGGCUAACUCUGUGCCAGCAGCCGCGGUAAUACAGAGGGUGCAAGCGUUAAUCGGAAUUACUGGGCGUAAAGGGAGCGUAGGUGGCUCAAUAAGUCAGAUGUGAAAUCCCCGGGCUUAACCUGGGAACUGAUCUGAUACUGUUGAGCUAGAGUUUGUGAAAGGAAGUAGAAUUCCAGGUGUAGCGGUGAAAUGCCUAGAGAUCUUGGAGGAAUCCGAUGGCGAAGGCAGCCUUUGCAUAAUACUGCCUGAGGUUCGAAGC